rnacentral:rRNA from 1 species
GUAGGUGGCAAGCGUUGUCCGGGAAUUAUUGGGGCGUAAAGCGCGCGCAGGCGGUUCUUUAAGUCUGAUGUGAAAGCCCACGGGCUCAACCGUGGAGGGUCAUUGGAAACUGGAGAACUUGAGUACAGAAGAGGAAAGCGGAAUUCCACGUGUAGCGGUGAAAUGCGUAGAGAUGUGGAGGAACACCAGUGGCGAAGGCGGCUUUCUGGUCUGUAACUGACGCUGAGGCGCGAAAGCGUGGGGAGCAAACAGGAUUAGAUACCCUGGUAGUCCACGCCGUAAACGAUGAGUGCUAAGUGUUAGGGGGUUUCCGCCCCUUAGUGCUGCAGCUAACGCAUUAAGCACUCCGCCUGGGGAGUACGGCCGCAAGGCUGA